AAGUGGCAUUUCAGAUGGCUCAAAAAUCAGACAAACCAUAGUCCACGAAGAAGUGGGAGUAAUUUUAUUAGUGCACAUGAAUGCUGUGACUCUGGUGCCGGUGCUCAGGCUUUCUUCGGCAAUGGAACAAAGUUAACAGUACUUGAUCCUUUAAUUCCCAAGAGUGAACCAUCCGUAAAGAUUCUAAAUGCACCUCAAAAGGAGUCCUGCAAGAAAAAAGUCACACUUGUGUGUUGGGCUGAAGAUUUCUACCCAGACCAUGUGAAAGUAGCAUGGUUUGUUGGACAGCAAGAAAUAACUGAAGAUGUAGCGACAGACCCACAUGCCACCUUUGUCGAGGGAAAAAAGUACACCAUAUCCAGCAGACUAAAAGUCUCUCAGAAGAUGUGGAAAAAAUCAACAAACAAAUUCACCUGUAUAGUGUCCUAUUACAAUGGAUCUGUCACAACUGAACAAUCAGCUUCUGUAUAUGGAGUUGCAGGUGGAUAUGACCGAGACAGCUAUGUGAAGUCGUCACAGUGGAUGAAGCUGGCAUAUGGCGUGACCAUUGCUAAGAGCGGACUGUAUGGCCUUGUCAUCUUUGUGUUUGUAUGGCGAAAGGGUUCAAAUGAAAAGUGAUGACUGGAUCAUCUGACCAUGAUGACUGAUGGAUUCUGGACGAAAGAAAUAAUCAAGAAAACACCAACAGUUUACUCCAUCCAGAAUAGAAGAUGCUGUAUAUAUAACUGAGGGCUUUUUUAUUUUAUUGGUAACACUUUACAAAAAGGUUUUACAAUAUUUGGUAAUGAUAUUACAUUAAACAGCAUAAAUUAGUAUUAAAUUAUAGCAUUUAUUUACCUUUGUUGACGUUGGUACAAUUGUUUUUUGCACUGUAAAGCAUAUCCAGUAAUUUGAUUUGCUCAUCACCCAAUGACGGUUGGGGUUAGGGGUGGGGUUAGGUGCAACGCCUCCUUUUAAAAUCGUACAUUUACAUACAAAUUCGUAUGAAUUAGCCACUAAACUGACAAAAUGUAAAAUACUUACGUUUCCUCGUGAGAUCAAGCUGGUAAUAUAGAGAAUUAAGUAGCUGUAAAAUAACAGAAUAGCGAAAAAAUAUUACCAGUUUUCAUAUCGAAAUUAACUUCACUAUCCCAGGCGGUAAAUAACUUCAAACUAUGUCAACAACAUUUUCAAACUGCUCAACACUAAAAGAUUAGAAAAAGGAAAAACCAAGAUCCCAUAUUGCAGUUCAAAAGCAUAAAUCUAAAUCACAAAAUACGUAAAACUGUUAACUGACCAAUAUUUUGUUACAGUUUGCUUGUUCAUUGGUUCACUGGGCAUUUAAUGUUAAGAAAUGUAACUCUUGUUGGCUAUGUAUUACAAAUGACUAAGAUUAAUAAAAGUGUUAGAGAAAUUGUUUGCUUUAUGUAUGCUAUGUAGUUAGCGUGUUAACUAAUUAAACCUUUUUGUAAAAUGUUACCAUUUUAUUUCAACUCUAUUCUUUCCUGAAUAUCUAUCACAAUGAAAAUAUGCUAACAAUGCAGAUCAUAUUAAUCAUAAAAUAUAGUUUGUUUUAUUUUAUUUUGCUUGUUUCCUUGCUAUUUUCGAAUGUUUUGAUAGCAUAGUACUAUACUAGUAAAAUAGACUAACUUAGGCAAAGAUAGAUAUAAAUAUAUUGUGACAUUUUACACACUGAACGUUACUGUACUUUAUUCUUUUAGUUUAACUUGCUUAAUAUGUAAUAAAACUCAUAAUAUAUGGAAACCAUCCACAUGGCAAAUUUUCAUUUAUUUUAUAAUGCACAUGGAGCACUGAUACAGGGUUUUUGUUGCACUGUAAAACCCAACAGUCAAAUUUAUCAAAUAAAAUGAGUGUAGUUAACUCAAAAAUUGACUGAAAGUUAACUUUACUCAUUUGAAAAGAGUUUUGAACUCAGUGUAAGUUCACAGUACUAAUAUAGAUUUUGUAUAGAGUUUGUAGCAAUCGGUUUCCUUAAACAGUUUGAGUUGCCAUAACUUAUUGAGUUUUACAGUGUAUUAUUUCAACAACAAAGCUUUGGAAAAUCAUCCGUUUGCUUCCCAAGGAAAGUCAUAUGUUUGAUUACCAAGGAAGGUGGUAGGUUUGAGUCGCAGAGAACCCAAAUACAUUUGAUUUAAAAUAUGAAAUUAUUUGAAUUUAAGCAUCCUAGUAACAAUGAUGUAACUUGUUGGUUAUAUUCUCUAGCUAACCAAUGGGGCCUGAGUGGCCACCUAGCGAACAUUCUCAUUAUAAAUCCAUAUAUUUGUGUGUGAUAUUAUGAAGAUAAAGAUGAAAUAAUGAAUUUCUGCACUUUUUUCUAUCUUCUUAAUAAAACAGAAUGCUACAAAAACACAUCUGUGCUAAGAAUAUAGUGAGAUUAUAUCAUAAUAUAAUAUAAUUAUUAAUAUAAUUGGGAAAAAGAUUGACAGUUUAAGAUCAAUUUGCUAAAUGCUGCCGACCUGAAUUUGUCUUUGUUUUCAUUUGGACACACUGUGCAUCGAAGACAUUGCUUUUUGUGUAGUUAUUUGAUACAAUGCACCUUACAUUAUAGUGCAGGUCUAUGUUUUCACAUUAAUCAGCAUUUAUUUAAUAUUCUUCUAUUAGAAAUGCACAUCACUACAAUUCUUCUGUUGACCAUACAUAACUUAUUGAUUCUAUAAAAGUAAGACAAAACAGUGCAAAACUGAAAAAAAGAAAAUUAAACUUGCUGUUUGUUCAAACUUCUUAUUUAAAAUGAACUGAAACAAGACUUAAAACAAUUAUGUUUUCCCCAAAAAAACUUAUGUUAAAUCAACCUCAAAACUAAUGUUAACUUAUUUUCUUCAUGUUGUCCCAAGAUAAAUCGAUUGUGCAAAACCAUUAAUUAUUUACAGUGUAUAAAGUGAGACAAAUAAGAUUGUAUUUUUAAACUACUGGAAUACAAUUUAAUAUAACUCCUUAACUUUUUUUGCUUGCCAUGACUUAGGGCCCUAUCAUACACCCGGCGCAGUGGGGAGCAAGGUGCGGCGCAAUAGUCUUUUGGUAGUUUUAGCUUGGCGCAAGAGUCGUUUUGAGGCGUUGUACUACGCUGUUUAAAUGACAAAUGCAUUAGCGCUCAUUUGUGCGCCCAUAGGCAUUCUGGUCUAAAAAGGAAGGCGUUCUGAGGCGGACCGCUGGCGCAUUGCUAUUUUGAGAAUCUAUAAUACAUUUUUCAUUAGACCAAAACAAACCCGGUCUAAACUCCGGGGCAGAGUUGCGCCUCGCUUACACACUGCUUAAUACGCACAAGAGAGCAAUAGGCAAAUAUCUUUACAUAUGAAAAAAUUUAAAUAUUAAGGAUAUAUAUAGGAUAUAAUAAGAAUAGAUAUAGAAUAUAAAUAUAAAGGAUAAAAUAUUACAAAACAUAUUAUUUUCUAGCCUACAUAAAUAUGAAAAACCACUGCUUUUAUGUCUUCUUCAUCUUGGGAGGCUUUUUCAGUUCAUUCAUAACAAUUGGCUUUUGUAUAAUGUUAUUAUUAUUAGC
ensembl:lincRNA